rnacentral:lncRNA from 1 species
AGACUGCACAGAUGGAACAUGGAAAGGCUUUUAACAGAAAUGAAUACUUUCAGACUAGGUUUGAAGGACUGAGUAGGAGUAAACUAAAAGAGAAAAAGCAGGACAAAAGAAGCACCACUUUGGAAGCUCAAAGCCGCACUGGAAACACAGUCUUUCAGGAUGUCUGAAAGGGGCAAGUCUGUUUGUGUGGGGUAAGAAAUGCGGGGAGACAAACGGACAGUGGACAGAUUGCAGAGAGCUCUGUGUGCUGAGAGGAGGGUGCAGACCAGAUUUUUAAAUUGAGAAUGCAACAGUGAAGGAUUUCAAGCUUGGAGUGAGAGGGGAGACUACGAGCCUGCAGUGAUAAGGCAAAGCUGAAGAUUUCAGAGCCAAGGCCACACCCUACAGUUGCCAUGGAAUGGGGUGGCACAGUGGGCUUUGGAGAUAUACAGGGAGUCCACGGAGCCUCCCCUGCAAGCAUCAGUACAGAAGUCGAUGAUAAUCUGGAUGCAAGCCCAGGAGUGUGGAGUCCACUGACUCAGAAGACCUGCAUCUAAGGAAUUGGCUGUUCUUAUCCUUAAGAAUGAUGACUGUGUUUCCAAUUCCAGUAGACCCUUUGAUGCGUUCUGAAUAAAUAUUCCUUUUGGAAUUGAACUUCUAGAGCCCUUAA